GCUGGGAGUUCAUUUUGCUGGGAGUUCAUUUUGCUGGGAAGUUGAUCUGAUUUCUGGGAACAUUUCCGGCAUCUGUUAAAUCAUAAUGCUGUAGGCAGAGAUGACGUCAUCCAUUGAAGAAUAAUAAACUCAAAAAAUGGAAGCAGAGCAUUGCCAGUUGUCCCUGGCCCCAGAGGAACCACAGCUGGGGUAGUCACUCUCCAGCGACAUGUUACUCCCCAGCCCGCCUAUCCUCCUGCGUAACAGGAAGUGUGUCCGUCUUUGCAGUAGCCUCUGCUGCUCCUGCUUCAGCUCCACAUAGGACCGGGAGAAUGUAUGGAAGAUGGAGGUGACUGGGAACGCCAUGAGAAGAAUCCCGCUCAGGAUACUGCUCAGAGCCACCACCUGACCCGGGAUGCUCCUCGGAACCAUGUCCCCGUAGCCCACUGUCGUCAUGGUAAUGACGGCCCACCAGUAGGUGGCGGGGAUACUGCUGAACUCGUGGGUCGUAGCCAUCUCGUUCUCAAUGAGGUAGAGCAGCGGGGAGAAGAGGGCAAUGGCCACGCAGAGGAAGAGGAGGAGUAAUCCGAACUCCCGCGUGCAGCGCCGUGCAGUAAGCCCCAGAGUCUGCAGGCCCAAUGAGUGGCGGGCCAGCCGCAUCACGUACAGAAUCCUCAGGGCACGGAGGAUCCGGAGCACCAGACCCACCUUGUCAAGGUAACUGCUGCCCGAGCCCAGCUUCUUCUCCCCCUGGUAGCUGUCCACUACUAGGGUGAUGUAGUAGGGCAGGAUUGCCACCACGUCUAUGAGGUUCAGAGGGCGUCUCAGGAAGGCAAGUUUGUCCCGGUCCUGGAUGAAGCGCAGGGUGAACUCAAGGGAGAACCAGCCCACACACACCGUCUCCACUAUGAAGAUGUUGUAGCACAUCUGGGAGCACUUGCCCUAAGAGGCACAGGAGACACUGGUUAGCACCUGUACAUCUAAUAUUAUGCAUCUAGCAUAUACCACAUUAUUCUUUGCCAUUUGUCCUAUAAGGCCACAGGGUGUGUAGGCUUUUUUUCUGAACUCAUUUCGGACCUUUUGUUGUUACAAUGAUGUAGUUAGACACUAGAGGGAGCUAUUAUGCUGCCUAAAAUCUAAGGGACAUUAUUGUGGUAUACCAAUUUGUAUUCCUCAAAUGUCAAAUUGUAGACUGCAGGGCAUCAAAAACAGACUCUAUUUAUAACAGACCAUUUAUUUUCUAGUCACAGCUUGUUGCCAAUCUUUUCAUGUUAAACUCCAAGAUUGCACCUUCUCUGUUCACUGCUCAGAUGGUUCUGUUCAGAGUGAGGUGUUGUGAGUGUAGGUGUUGCUUUAUUAAGCUACAUAAAAGAUGAGAAUGCAAUGUACUGAACCAAAAACCUGACAAAACUCCUGAAUGUAGUUAGCACCAGAAAAUCCUCUCCAAGCCUGAUGGUUAUGUAUUAUUUGGGAGGUUGUUUCUAAUCAAUUGUUUUCGUGAAGAUGUUUCAAUUGAUAUUCAAUUGUUAACCAAUUCAAAACACAUACAAUAUAAUAUAAAAUGGCCUUUGAGUUGCUUCUAUUUCAGAAGAAAGCACGCAGUAUUAUUAUGAAACACUCCCACACAGUCGGAAAUGACUUAUACCAGUGUAUUAUAUCUACACAGUAUGUACAAUAAGCUUUUUUUUCAGAAAGAACAGCUUUUAGAAAACAACAUUCUCCUCUUCAAUUAAUUCUAACUGUGUAACAAUAUAAUAUAUCAGGGAUACAAUUCUGGAAUGCACUGCUCAUGUAUCAGCCUUUGGAGCCCCAUAUAAAGUAAUUCCCCUCUGGGGUAAUGAAUAACCUUCUGGGUACAAAAAUAUGUUCCAUAAUGGUUACAUACAGGUAACUGAGGCUAAAGACAAAUUAAUUGCUUUUGCUCCACCUGAAAGUACUCUCCUAGAACUCACAAUGAAACCAGUGAAGUGCGGUGUAUGUGUGUUUGUGUGACUCCAAUUUUCUAUUUAUUUUCUUUUUAUCUGGCUACUGAGGCCAGAAAAAGUUAAUUACCGCAGUGAUUGAAGUCAGCCAUGAUAAUGAGCACCUAAAUUAGAUUAGAACGAGACUUUUCCAAAUGUUUUCUUUGCAAAUUAGAAGAGUGGUCUGAUGCCCACACACAUAAUCAAUUAUUAAUUUUACUUGCCAAAUGCUCUUUGAGCUUUGAUAUAAAAAAAGUUAUUUCCAAUUUCAAAGUGCAGGCUUUGUUAUCAAGGGUCGGGGAAUUGAAUUCUGUGUUAAUGUAAUGGCUAUGUUAGUAAUUAUGUAAUACGUAUGGUGUAAUUAUUUCCAUAUGUAAUAACUAUGUAAUAUCCAUGGUGAGCGUGUAUGUCCUGUUGCCCUGUGCUGACGCUUCCUAGUCCUCAUGAUGUCCACCUACCUGCUCCUCCUCCUCUCUCAUGGCCGGCAUGGUGCUGAUGGACAGGUUGACAGCCGUGAUGGUGACAAACAGCACCGACAAACAGGCAAAGAUCUUCCCUGGCAGGCCUGAGUGAGGCCUCUCCACCAUGUCUCUCAGCUUGUUCAUAUAAUGUCCCAUCCGGGUCUCUGUAGCCCGGGCGGCGCUGCCUCUGCGGUGCCCGCUUUCGGUGUCCAUCAUCAGCUCCUCCUCCUCCUCAUCCUCCUGGGCUGCCCGCUCCAGCUCGUCACACUCCUCCACCCGCUGGAUGAGGCGGCGACGGCAACACCACUCUAGGUUCUCCUCAGGGACCCCCCAGUAGAGCAGCUCCUCCCUGAAGGAGAGGGCACACAUCUCCCUGAGGGAUCGCAGCUUCCCGGCCCGCAGGAAGGUCAGGAUGGUGCGGAAGGCGCAGGGCGAACGAUCAAAGAAGUACUCGUUGCUGGCAAUGUCAUAAUCGUCGCAGACGCACAUGAUCUCGUCAAAGCUGCUGCAGAGGCGCAGCUGGCCAAGUCGGGACAAGGGGAAGUCCUCCAAGGUGGUCCAGGGUAAUUGAUAACGCAGCCCGCCGACAUUGAUAAUGGCAUGGAGUUUACGGGCAGCGGAGAGCGUGGUGGAGUUGGUGAGGUGGUGGUCUGGGUCCUCAGGUAGGAGUUGGGCCCGUUUGUAGUAGGCCCCCUUGAGGGCCUCUUGCUCUGACAGGGGCGGGGGUUGAGGGAGGAGGAGGGAGGCAUCGGAGGCACAGCUCAGAGCGCUGUAGUCGUAGUCUGAGCCGUCGCCUGCCAGCAGAGUCAUCUUUACCUCUACAGGCACAGAACCUCCAUGUGCACUCCCACCGCAGCUCACAUUCCUGUGGUCAACUUCUCACGGACACACCUUUACCUUCAGGAGGGAAAGGACAAACACAAAAAAUCAUGUACUAUACACUCUUAAAAAUACUCUUAAAAGGUUGUUAGAACCUUGUUAGAACCUAUGGUUCUUGAGGGAAAUAUGGCCUUUUAGAAUGUAAACAUUUCUUGACCCUUGCAUUAAAGGGAUAGUUCACACAAAUGACAAAAUUACAUUAGCUUCCUUACCAUUUAACCAGUUUAUGGACAUGGUAUGACAAUAAUGCAUGCUUUGGUUUAGUUUACCUGGCACGGUUUCCAAAUGAUAAAUCCCAUCCCAUUUUGUGGCACAAAUCCCAUUCAAGUCAUGGAACUGACAUUAGCAUUUUUUUGAGCAUCAUGUCCAAAUUGUUCUAAAGAAUCUAAAAUGUAUUGUUAAGCUCAACAAAGUCACUUAGAUCAUUUGAAUAUGAUGCACGAAAAAUGUUAACAUCGGUUCUAUGACUUGCCAGCCACUGCCAGGUAAACUUAACCAAAGCAUGGAUUGCUGUCAUACAUUAUCAACAGACUGCUUACAUGGUAAGGAAACCAAUAUGUCAUUUUGUUAUUUGGGGGAACUAUCCCUUUAAGAGUACAAGCCCCCAACAUUCUUUAGGCAUAGUUAGCCUCUUUCGUCAGUGGCCCGGGUCCCCAAAUGCAGUAGUCCGGCCCUGUCUUUUGUAUUUGCUUGAAGCUUAAUGUCAUACAGUAAAUCAAACUUAGGACAUUUUCUCCACGUCCUCCUCCACCCCUCCCCCACAAGUUAUUGUGCCACUUUUUCUGAGAUAAUAUCACCUGAAGUUGAACCUCAACCUCUGUCUGAAGAACACGUGCCUGGGACGCCGGAAUUGAAACUUUAGGGAGUUACUUUUUCCUAACAUUACUUUGCAUUUAACUGAAUAAGACCUACAGUACAUUAUAUUUGGUAGUGUAUCUUUCUAGUUAGCUACAUUUAUAUUGUUUCUUCUUUGAGUUGGCUCGUAGCAUAUCAAUCAGCUGGCUGGGAAGCUAACUGCUCAUUCCUGUCUAUGCAUUUCUCUAUGUAGGCAGAACCAGUGCUGUUGUUUUUUGUUGUUGCCUAUUUUGCCUGUUAUUUUGCCA